UGCGGCUGGAAGAACAUGGCAAAGUGGUGCUGGUGCUGGAGAGAGCCUCUCAGGGCGCCGGCCCUUCCCGACCCCCAACCCCAGGCAGGAACCGGUAUACAGUGAUGUCUGGCACCCCAGAGAAGAUCCUAGAGCUUCUGUUGGAGGCCAUGGGACCAGAUUCCAGUGCUCAUGACCCAACAGGUGGGUGGCCCUGCUUGGAUGUUGUGGUUCCCUUGACUGGUGCCCACCUUCCAUGUGGAGCCUGCGGGUGGCAGCGAGCAGGAGCGCAGCACCUACGUCUGCAACAAGAGGCAGCAGAUCUUGCGGCUGGUCAGCCAGUGGGUGGCCCUGUAUGGCUCCAUGCUCCACACUGACCCUGUGGCCACCAGCUU
rnacentral:lncRNA from 1 species